rnacentral:rRNA from 1 species
ACGAUCGGUAGCCGGUCUGAGAGGAUGAACGGCCACACUGGAACUGAGACACGGUCCAGACUCCUACGGGAGGCAGCAGUGGGGAAUCUUCCGCAAUGGACGAAAGUCUGACGGAGCAACGCCGCGUGAGUGAAGACGGCCUUCGGGUUGUAAAGCUCUGUGAUUCGGGACGAAAGGCCAUAUGUGAAUAAUAUAUGGAAAUGACGGUACCGAAAAAAGCAAGCCACGGGCUAACUACGUGCCAGCAGCCGCGGUAAAU